CUGCAAAAGAAGAAGAAGGAGAAGAGGCAGUCACCAAAGAUCCAUCACUUAUUGGGCGCAAGAGGCUUCACCCUGUUUUUUCUUGUGCAAAAACAGCUAUCAUUUCAGCUUGUUACAGAAACUGAUUUACGGAGCAAGAUAAAUUCCAGAGCAUGCUCCACUUAGGCACCUCCUACUGAUUUACGGCAUGGUAGUUAAACAAAAUGCCCAUCCCUGCGAGUG
rnacentral:lncRNA from 1 species